rnacentral:tRNA from 2 species
GCCUGGCUAGCUCAGUCGGUAGAGCAUGAGACUCUUAAUGUCAGGGUCGUGGGUUUGAGCCCCACGUUGGGCG